rnacentral:rRNA from 1 species
UCCGGUUGAUCCUGCCGGACCUGACUGCUAUCGGAUUGGUACUAAGCCAUGCGAGUCAUUGUAGCAAUACAAGGCGGACGGCUCAGUAACACGUAGUCAACCUAACUCGUGGACGUGGAUAACCUCGGGAAACUGAGAAUAAACCACGAUAGAUCAUAAUGCCUGGAAUGGCUUAUGGUCCAAACAGUUUACUGCCAUGGGAUGGGACUGCGGCCUAUCAGCUUGUUGGUGAGGUAAUGGCCCACCAAGGCGAUUACAGGUACGGGCUCUGAGAGGAGAAGCCCGGAGAUGGGUACUGAGACACGGACCCAGGCCCUAUGGGGCGCAGCAGGCGAGAAACCUUAGCAAUGUGCGAAAGCACGACUGGGUCAGUCCGAGUGAUUCCUGAUAAAGGGGUCUUUUGCUUGUCCUAAAAGCACAGGUGAAUAAGGGGUGGGCAAGUCUGGUGUCAGCCGCCGCGGUAAUACCAGCACCUCGAGUGGUCAGGACGUUUAUUGGGCCUAAAGCAUCCGUAGCCGGCUUUGCAAGUCUUCGGUUAAAUCCACCUGCUCAACAGAUGGGCUGCUGGAGAUACUACAGAGCUAGGGAGUGGGAGAGGCAGACGGUAUUCAGUGGGUAGGGGUAAAAUCCUCUGAUCCAUUGAGGACCACCAGUGGCGAAGGCGGUCUGCCAGAACACGUUCGACGGUGAGGGAUGAAAGCUGGGGGAGCAAACCGGAUUAGAUACCCGGGUAGUCCCAGCUGUAAACGAUGCAAACUCGGUGAUGCAUUGGCUUAUGGCCAAUGCAGUGCCGCAGGGAAGCCGUUAAGUUUGCCGCCUGGGAAGUACGGACGCAAGUCUGAAACUUAAAGGAAUUGGCGGGGGAGCACCACAAGGGGUGAAGCCUGCGGUUCAAUUGGAGUCAACGCCAGGAAUCUUACCCGGGGAGACAGCAGAAUGAAGGUCAAGCUGAAGACUUUACCAGACAAGCUGAGAGGAGGUGCAUGGCC